rnacentral:rRNA from 1 species
UCUCUAGAAGACAUCUGAAAGAGAUUAAAGAUUUAUCGGUGAUGGAUGGGGAUGCGUCUGAUUAGCUUGUUGGCGGGGUAACGGCCCACCAAGGCAACGAUCAGUAGGGGUUCUGAGAGGAAGGUCCCCCACAUUGGAACUGAGACACGGUCCAAACUCCUACGGGAGGCAGCAGUGAGGAAUAUUGGUCAAUGGACGAGAGUCUGAACCAGCCAAGUAGCGUGCAGGAUGACGGCCCUAUGGGUUGUAAACUGCUUUUAUAAGGGAAUAAAGUGAGUCUCGUGAGACUUUUUGCAUGUACCUUAUGAAUAAGGACCGGCUAAUUCCGUGCCAGCAGCCGCGGUAAUACGGAAGGUCCGGGCGUUAUCCGGAUUUAUUGGGUUUAAAGGGAGCGUAGGCCGGAGAUUAAGCGUGUUGUGAAAUGUAGAUGCUCAACAUCUGAACUGCAGCGCGAACUGGUUUCCUUGAGUACGCACAAAGUGGGCGGAAUUCGUGGUGUAGCGGUGAAAUGCUUAGAUAUCACGAAGAACUCCGAUUGCGAAGGCAGCUCACUGGAGCGCAACUGACGCUGAAGCUCGAAAGUGCGGGUAUCGAACAGGAUUAGAUACCCUGGUAGUCCGCACGGUAAACGAUGGAUGCCCGCUGUUGGUCUGAAUAGGUCAGCGGCCAAGCGAAAGCAUUAAGCAUCCCACCUGGGGAGUA